rnacentral:lncRNA from 1 species
UUUUCCAGAUUAAGCGUCAAAUGAGGAAGACAAAGCUGAAGCACCUUAAAGCACUUCCAAGGGAUACCCUUUUGAUCUCCAUAAGUCGAAUCUGAAACCCUAACAUGGUGAGUAUAAAAGAAGAGGGGCAGAUACUAUUGAGGGACCACGAAAAACCCUAGAGUAUUGGACGGCGGCUGAGAACGACGAAGAACCCUAGAGAGAAAAAAGGUUAGCAAGAGUUCUGGGAGAAAAGCUUCACAAAAAGCCAUUAGCAUUAGCAAAAAUCAGGGAAAGAAGACGGUGGUCGUAUACCUGUUCACUCGUCUCCAAAAUAUCCCGAUCCGGUAGAUUCCUCGCUUCUUCUUGCUCUUCAGUAUCCAGCGUCAACCCCUAUUUUGUUCAAGGUUCGUGAUUUCGUUGCUAUUGUUGUCCUUUAUUUUCUUCUUGUUUUUGAGUAUUGGUUUUGCGUUAGGAGAAGUAGAUUUUUUUUAUAUAUUGAGGAAGAGGCUUUUGAGCUGAGAGGAAGAAGGUGACCGUUUGUUCUUUCCCACUUCCCCAAGGGUUUAAUGACUUCUUCGUUUCCCCAAGAGCAUUAAUGGCUCUCCAUUCUCUUCCUCAUGUGACUGUUGGGACUCUGUUUCCCACGCGGAAUAGGAAGAGGCUCACCAAC